CAAGUUAUAGCUUACACUUAAAGCACCUUGCUUACACCAAGAAGACGUCUGCUAAUACCUGACUAACUUGAG
rnacentral:tRNA from 1 species